rnacentral:rRNA from 1 species
AGAUUGAACGCUGGCGGCGUGCUUAACACAUGCAAGUCGUGCGGUAACAGGCGUAGCAAUACGUGCUGACGAGCGGCGAACGGGUGCGUAAUACAUGGGAAUCUGCCCUUUAGUGGGGAAUAACUCGGCGAAAGCCGGGCUAAUGCCGCAUAAGAUCUUCGGAUGAAAGCGGGGGAUCGUAAGACCUCGCGCUGAUGGAUGAGCCCAUGUCGGAUUAGCUAGUUGGUGAGGUAACGGCUCACCAAGGCGACGAUCCGUAGCUGGUCUGAGAGGACGGCCAGCCACACUGGGACUGAGACACGGCCCAGACUCCGUACGGGAGGCAGCAGUGGGAAUAGUGGACAAGUGGGGAAACCCUGAUCCAGCGACGCCGCGUGUGUGAAGAAGCCUGCGGUUAGUAAGCACUUUCGAGUGGAACGAAGUAU